AUGGAUCACCGCGGGCCGCUGUUGCCCGAUGGCCGCCGGCUGGCGGCCGCGCUCCUCCUCCUCCUGGCGGCCUGCCUCUCGUCUGCCCGGGCCGUCACCAGCGAGGAGGCCUCCUACAUCGCACAACGCCAGCUGCUCGCCAUGAGCGAGGCCGGGGUGGGCGAGGACGGCGACCUCCCCGCGGACCUGGAGUCGAGGCCUUGCCUGGAGUUCGACGGCAAGGCCGCCACCGCCAACCUGACCUUCCCGAACGACCGCCUCCGCCGCGCCUACAUCGGCCUCCAGGCCUGGCGCAAGGCCUUCUACUCCGACCCCAAGAACUUCACCAGCGACUGGGUGGGCGCCGACGUGUGCUCCUACAACGGCGUGGUCUGCGCGCAGGCGCAGGACGACGCCAAGGCCACCGUGGUCGCCGGGAUCGACCUCAACGGCGCCGACAUCGCCGGCUACCUCCCGCCGGAGCUCGGCCUGCUCACCGACCUCGCCUUCUUCCACAUCAACACCAACCGCUUCUGCGGCAUCAUCCCCAAGAGCAUGUCGCGCCUCACCAUCCUCUGGGAGUUCGACGUCAGCAACAACCGCUUCGUCGGCCCCUUCCCCUACGUCUGCCUCGAGAUGCCCACGCUCAAGUACCUCGACAUCCGCUUCAACGAGUUCGAGGGCGAGCUGCCGCCCGCGCUCUUCGACAAGCCCUACGACGCCAUCUUCGUCAACAGCAACCGCUUCGUCGGCCCCAUCCCGGAGACCAUCGGCAACUCCACCGCCUCCGUCGUCGUCUUCGCAAACAACAAGUUCGUCGGAUGCAUCCCCAAGAGCAUCGGCCGCAUGGCCAAGACGCUCGACGAGAUCAUCUUCCUCAACAACACCCUCGAGGGCUGCAUGCCGCUCGAGAUCGGCAUGCUCACCAACACCACCGUCGUCGACGUCAGCGGCAACAGCCUCGUCGGCUCGCUGCCCAAGGAGAUCUCCGGCUGCAGCAAGCUGGAGCAGCUCGACGUGUCCAGGAACGUUCUCACCGGCAUCGUGCACGAGGCCAUCUGCGAGCUCCCCAUGCUCGUCAACUUCAGCUACGCAUCCAACUUCUUCGAGUCUGAGUCCGCGCCCUGCAUGCCCUCCGACAAAUCCGAGGUCAACCUCGACGACGCCAACAACUGCCUCGGCGCGCUCCGCCCCGCGCAGAAGACCACGCUCCAGUGCGCGCCCGUGCUCGCGCGCCCCGUCGACUGCAACAAGCACGUGUGUGCCGGGCCGCACCCGACGACGAUGCCCUCGCCGGACAGGAAGCAGGCAUCACCGCCGGCGCUGUCCCCGAUAAUUGGGCCAGCAAUGGAGAUCCCGACGCCAGCACCAGCACCCGCACCCGCACCCGAGCCGGCUGUUUUGGGCCCGAUUGUUGGGCCACUUCCACCCAAGGAUGAGUAUGCUGGUGCUCCACCACCUCCCAGUUCUGGCUGGCUCCCGUUGACCCCUGAGCGCAAGAAGGCACCUCCGCCGGAAGAAUACGCGCCUCCGGAAGAAUACACGCCUCCGGUGAAGGCGCUUCCACCACAGGGACCAGUUAAGGUGGUUUCGCCACCCGCACCAGAGAAGGUUCUUCCACCACCGACACCCGUGAAGGUGCUUCCGCCACCCGCACCAGAGAAGGUGCUUCCACCACCGGCGCCCGUGAAGGUGCUUCCGCCGCCCGCACCAGAGAAGGUGCUUCCACCACCGGCGCCCGUGAAGGUGCUUCCGCCACCCGCACCAGAGAAGGUGCUUCCACCACCGACGCCCGUGAAGGUGCUUCCGCCACCCGCACCAGAGAAGGUGCUUCCACCACCGACGCCCGUGAAGGUGCUUCCGCCACCCGCACCGGUGCACUCUCCUCCACCCCCUGUGAAAUCUCCUCCCCCGCCUGCUCCAGUGAGCUCUCCACCACCUCCUGUGAAAUCUCCUCCCCCACCUGCACCGAAGAAGUCUCCGCCAACGGAAACACCGGUGAUCCCACCAAAAGAAAAGUCAAUGCCACCACCAACUCCGGCGAAGUCGUCUCCUCCUCCGGCCGAGAAGUAUGAACCACCAGAACCUGUUGAAUCAUCACCACCACCGGUGAAGUCAUAUCCGCCAAAAGAACCUACGCCUGAGAAGUCAUUACCACCUCCGGUGAAGUCCCCAUCACCGCCAAAACCAGUCAGCUCACCGCCACCGGUACCAGUGAAGCCCCCACCGGCUCCAGUGAGCUCACCACCACCGGCGCCAGUUAAGGUACUUCCACCACCCGCACCUGAGAAGGUGCUUCCACCACCAGUGCCGGCGAAGGCUCCACCGGCUCCAGUGGGCUCACCACCACCAGCACCGGUUAAGGUACUUCCACCACCCGCAUCAGAGAAGGUGCUUCCACCACCGGUGCCGGUGAAGCCUACCCCGGCUCCAGUGAGCUCACCACCACCAGCACCAGUUAAGGUACUUCCACCACCCGCACCAGAGAAGGUGCUUCCACCACCAGCACCGGUGAAGCCUCCACCAGUUCCAGUGAGCUCACCCCCUCCCCCUGUGAAAUCUCCACCACCACCCGCUCCAGUUAGCUCGCCACCACCUCCAGUCAAGUCUCCUCCUCCACCCGCACCGGUGAGCUCACCACCACCUCCGGUGAAAUCGCCACCACCCCCCGCCCCAGUUAGCUCGCCGCCACCUCCAGUCAAGUCUCCUCCACCACCGGCACCUGUCAGCUCACCGCCACCGGCACCAGUGUUAUUGCCUCCUCCAGCAAAAUCCACCCCAGCACCGGUGAAAGAAGAGCCACAGUCACCUCCGGCGGAAUCACUUACACCCCCGAAGUUCGACGAGUUCAUCAUGCCGCCGGUCGUGUCGGCAAAAUACGCGUCACCACCACCACCCCAGUUCCAAGGAUAUUAA
rnacentral:rRNA from 1 species